rnacentral:lncRNA from 1 species
CUAGCUACUGGACAUUAAGAUCAUACAGGUAUCUUCAAGAUAAGGAUGAAACUUUUUGGACAUAAAUAUAGAAAAAUUUCAUAUAUGAAUUCAGAAGUUGAGCACGACAUGAUUUGCAUGGAAAUAAGUAAUUCAUCACAGUGUUCUCAGAUCUCAGUGACUUUGACUGGUAAAACACAUGUAACUAUUGUAAUAGGAUUUUGCCAAAGCUUUUUCCUAACAACACAAGACAACUUGGACUCUCAUAAUCCUUACAUAAAAACGGCUUUCUUAAGGAAUAUCCAAAUACUGUUAUGCAUGCAUGCUUAAACCCUAAUGUUUACCACCACCUCCUCCUCCACCUACACCAGAACCACUGCCGGAACCAUGCCCACCUCCUACCCCAACUCCGAUGCCAAUUCCGAUGCCAAACCCUCCACCGCCUCCAUGACCGCCGCCGCCACCUCCACCUAUACCUCCACCGCCGCCAUGACCUAUACCACCACCUGCACCAAACCCUCCGCCGUGACCAGAACCUCCUCCAAUUCCUCCACCGCCACCUCCUCCAGCACCACCACCACCACCUAUUCCUCCUCCUACACCACCUCCUGCACCAAAGCCCCCACCAUGACCUGAACCUCCUCCUACUCCACCCCCUCCUCCACCACCAGCUCCUCCUCCCGCUCCACCACCAACACCACCUCCUAUACCACCACCAGCACCAAAUCCUCCACCAUGGCCUGAACCUCCUCCCAAACCACCACCACCACCACCACCUCCUCCUCCUCCUCCCCCUCCACCUGCUCCACCACCUAAGCCUCCACCAACACCACCACCAGCUCCAAACCCUCCACCAUGGCCUGAUCCAC